UACUCAGCAUGUGUCUUGCCUCAGCAAA
rnacentral:piRNA from 1 species